UACGGAGGGGGCUAGCGUUGUUCGGAAUUACUGGGCGUAAAGCGCACGUAGGCGGACUUGUAAGUCAGGGGUGAAAUCCCGAGGCUCAACUUCGGAACUGCCUUUGAUACUGCAAGUCUCGAGUCCGGAAGAGGUGAGUGGAAUUCCUAGUGUAGAGGUGAAAUUCGUAGAUAUUAGGAAGAACACCAGUGGCGAAGGCGGCUCACUGGUCCGGUACUGACGCUGAGGUGCGAAAGCGUGGGGAGCAAACAGG
rnacentral:rRNA from 1 species